CUUAUCCGACAGCCCUUGCGCGGGCGCACUGUGACGUCCCUGAUUGUGAGCAUGGCUGUCCAGCUUCGGGCCCGCCGAAAUCGAGCCAGAACUAGGGCCAGACGGCUGCAAAGUUCUGCGCGAGCCUCGGGGCGCUCUGUUUAAGCCCAGCCUGUUUGUGGCUGACCUCGGGAGAGGACCGCAUUGCUUUUGGAAGGAAUGCUGGCCUGGAGGUCAGGCGGCUAAGGGCUCCAUCUAGUUUUGUUUGUGCCAUGAAAAUGGGGUUGAGGAAGGGUGUGGGGCAAUGGUUCUUAAUUCUGUGCCGUUCACAUUAUUGCAAACUCGAUCUUUUAUGAGAAAUCUUAGUGGUUUUAUAAUAAACGAUUUUUAC